rnacentral:rRNA from 1 species
CACGCCGUAAACGAUGUCAACUAGCCGUUGGGAGCCUUGAGCUCUUAGUGGCGCAGCUAACGCAUUAAGUUGACCGCCUGGGGAGUACGGCCGCAAGGUUAAAACUCAAAGGAAUUGACGGGGACCCGCACAAGCGGUGGAUGAUGUGGAUUAAUUCGAUGCAACGCGAAAAACCUUACCUACCCUUGACAUGGACGGAAGCCCGGAGAGAUUUGGGCGUGCUCGAAAGAGAGCCGUCACACAGGUGC